UAUUCCCACAAGGGGAGCCGAUAUGGCUGAGAGUGAACGACUGAGUUCUGACCCUAUGAACCUGUUAGAUAAUGCUAGCGCAGGGACUGUGGUUUGAUGGAAUG
rnacentral:ncRNA from 2 species